AUGGCACUGCAUAAGGACUACAUCUGUGAGGACACGGCCGCUGAAGGGUUGUGGGGACGACGGGGCGGAGCGCACUCAGCUCCUGCUCAGCUGCAGCACCACCGACCCCACUGGAACACUCAGCUCCUGCUGAGCUGCAGCACCACCAACCCCACUGGAACACUCAGCUCCUGCUCAUCUGCAGCACCACCGACCCCACUGGAACACUCAGCUCCUGCUCAGCUGCAGCACCACCGACCCCACUGGAACACUCAGCUCCUGCUCAGCUGCAGCACCACCGACGCCACUAGAACACUCAGCUCCUGCUCAGCUGCAACACCACUGCGCUAUGUGUUAAGACAUAUUACUACUCAAUUCAACUUGCCAACAAAUCUACAAUCACAUAAUCUGGACUGAUAUAGGAAAGGCAUAUGAUCCAUACUGUACUUUCUCAGCCAAUACAAAAAAGUUCCCAUUGUGUGUUUGCAUCUUUAUUUCCAUCUAACUUUGAUUUAAACAGGACUUUAAGGUCUUGACUGUUUCACAGCUGGUUAGAGUGGUCAGGUGUUGAAAUGAUUUAUACGUAGAAUUGGAGAGCUUUGAGACUCUGAUAUUCAGUUUUAGCGGCAGGUUUUUUCCAUAACAACAUAACCUGUGUUAUACUGUGUCAUAUCCAUGUUAUUAAGCACUGUACAUGUCCCAUGUAGCUCAGUUGGUAGAGCAUGGCGCUUGCAAUGCCAGGGUUGUGGGUCUGAUUCCCAUGGGGGACCCGUACGAACAAGUAUGAAUAUGUAUGUACUCACUACUGUAAUUCGCUCUGGAUAAGAACAUCUGCUAAAUGACUAAAAUGUUAUGUAAAUAUAAUAAUCUAGCACUCAUCUGCAGUACUUUUCUGAGAAGAACCUGUAUAUUAAUACAACUUCACAUUCACGCAUUAUUCAUAACAAGUGUAAAAUGAGCCCUGUCCAGAAAAAUUACAUUUUAAUAAUUGGAUCUAGCUACUCUAUAACAAAAAUGUAUUCUUAUGCAAUAUUGUGAUUGCAUCUGCAAUUUGAGUCCAAC
rnacentral:lncRNA from 13 species